GUCAGGUUUGGUGGAGUGCGCCUAUAGUCCCAGUUCUUGGGAGGCUGAGACAGAAUUGCUCGAGCUCAGUGCUAGGCUGCAAAGCGGUGCGCUGAGGGGGUGUCCGCGCUGAGUUCCGCAUCAAUACGGUGACCUCCGGGGAUCGGGGAACCACCAGGUUGCCUAAAGGAAGGUUAACUAGUCUAGGUCAGAAAAGGAGCAGGUCAAAACUCCCAUGCUGAAGAGUCAUUGAAUCUUUAGUUUUGUUUAUCUUAAAUUAGUUUUUGUUUUAU
rnacentral:SRP_RNA from 1 species